GGUGGGCAGUACUACAGGAUUCCCCUAGUAACUGCGAGUGAAGCGGGAAAAGCUCAAAUUUGUAAUCUGGCGGGCUCCGCUCGUCCGAGUUGUAAUCUAGAGAAGCGUUAUCCGCGCUGGACCGUGUAUAAGUCUCCUGGAACGGAGCGUCAUAGAGGGUGAGAAUCCCGUCUUUGACACGGACUACCAGGGCUUUGUGAUGCGCUCUCAAAGAGUCGCGUUGUUUGGGAAUGCAGCGCUAAAUGGGUGGUAAAUUCCAUCUAAAGCUAAAUAUUGGCGAGAGACCGAUAGCGAACAAGUACCGUGAGGGAAAGAUGAAAAGAACUUUGGAAAGAGAGUGAAACAGUACGUGAAAUUGCUGAAAGGGAAACGCUUGAGGUCAGUCGCGUUGGCCGGGGAUCAGCCUUGCUCUUUUGCUUGGUGUACUUCCUGGUUGAUGGGUCAGCAUCAGUUUUGACCGGCGGACAAAGGCUAGGGGAAUGUGGCACCUUCGGGUGUGUUAUAGCCCCUGGUCAUAUACGUCGAUUGGGACUGAGGAACUCAGCACGCCGCAAGGCCGGGUCUUUGACCACGUACGUGCUUAGGAUGCUGGCAUAAUGGCCUUAAGCGACCCGUCUUGAACGGG
rnacentral:rRNA from 1 species